rnacentral:rRNA from 1 species
CGCGUAGGCGGAUAGUUUAGUCAGAGGUGAAAGCCCAGGGCUCAACCUUGGAAUUGCCUUUGAUACUGGCUAUCUUGAGUUCGGGAGAGGUGAGUGGAACUCCGAGUGUAGAGGUGAAAUUCGUAGAUAUUCGGAAGAACACCAGUGGCGAAGGCGACUCACUGGCCCGAUACUGACGCUGAGGCGCGAAAGCGUGGGGAGCAAACA